rnacentral:rRNA from 1 species
AGAGUUUGAUCCUGGCUCAGAUUGAACGCUGGCGGCGUGCCUAACACAUGCAAGUCGAACGAAGCGCCGGGAGCUUGCUCUUGGCGACUGAGUGGCGCACGGGUGAGUAGCGCGUGGAUAAUCUACCCUGAAGCUUGGGACAACAGUUGGAAACGACUGCUAAUACCGGAUAUGGCACCAUAUGAUAGUGUGGUGUUAAAGGCGGCCUCUGAAUAUGCUGUCGCUUUGGGAUGAGUCCGCGUUUCAUUAGGUAGUUGGUGGGGUAACGGCUCACCAAGCCGACGAUGAACAGCCGACCUGAGAGGGUAAUCGGCCACACUGGGACUGGAACACGGCCCAGACUCCUACGGGAGGCAGCAGUGGGGAAUAUUGCGCAAUGGGCGAAAGCCUGACGCAGCGACGCCGCGUGAGGGAUGAAGGGCUUCGGUUCGUAAACCUCUGUCAGAAGGGAAGAAGUGUAGGUGUGCUAAUCAGCAUCUAUUUGACGGUACCUUCAAAGGAAGCACCGGCUAACUCCGUGCCAGCAGCCGCGGUAAUACGGAGGGUGCGAGCGUUAAUCGGAAUCACUGGGCGUAAAGCGCAUGUAGGCUGCUAUGUAAGUCAGGGAUGAAAGCCCUCAGCUCAACUGAGGAAUAGCCUUUGAUACUGUGUAGCUGGAGUCUGUGAGAGGGUAGUGGAAUUCCAGGUGUAGGGGUGAAAUCCGUAGAGAUCUGGAGGAACAUCAGUGGCGAAGGCGUCUACCUGGUGCAGUACUGACGCUGAGAUGCGAAAGCGUGGGGAUCAAACAGGAUUAGAUACCCUGGUAGUCCACGCUGUAAACGAUGGAUACUAGGUGUCGGGAGCAUGUCUUUCGGCGCCGGAGCUAACGCAAUAAGUAUCCCGCCUGGGGAGUACGGUCGCAAGGCUGAAACUCAAAGAAAUUGACGGGGGCCCGCACAAGCGGUGGAGUAUGUGGUUUAAUUCGAUGCAACGCGAAGAACCUUACCUAGGCUUGACAUCCAGGGAACCCUCCUGAAACGGAGGGGUGUCCUUCGGGAAACCCUGAGACAGGUGCUGCAUGGCUGUCGUCAGCUCGUGCCGUGAGGUGUUGGGUUAAGUCCCGCAACGAGCGCAACCCUUGUCGUUAGUUGCCAUCAGGUAAAGCUGGGCACUCUAAUGAGACUGCUGUGGUUAACACAGAGGAAGGUGGGGACGACGUCAAGUCAUCAUGGCCCUUACGCCUAGGGCUACACACGUACUACAAUGGCGCGCACAAAGGGCAGCGAUACCGCGAGGUGGAGCCAAUCCCAAAAAACGCGUCCCAGUUCGGACUGCAGUCUGCAACUCGACUGCACGAAGUCGGAAUCGCUAGUAAUCCCGGAUCAGCAUGCCGGGGUGAAUGCGUUCCCGGGCCUUGUACACACCGCCCGUCACACCACGAAAGUUGGUUUUACCCGACACCGGUGGGCUAACUCGCAAGAGAGGCAGCCGUCUACGGUAGGGCCGAUGAUUGGGGUGAAGUCGUAACAAGGUAACCGUA